AUGAACGCUGGCGGCGUGCCUAAUACCUGCAAGUCGAGCGAACGGACGAGAAGCUUGCUUCUCUGAUGUUAGCGGCGGACGGGUGAAUAACACGUGGAUAACCUACCUAUAAGACUGGGAUAACUUCGGGAAACCGGAGCUAAUACCGGAUAAUAUUUUGAACCGCAUGGUUCAAAAGUGAAAGACGGUCUUGCUGUCACUUAUAGAUGGAUCCGCGCUGCAUUAGCUAGUUGGUAAGGUAACGGCUUACCAAGGCAACGAUGCAUAGCCGACCUGAGAGGGUGAUCGGCCACACUGGAACUGAGACACGGUCCAGACUCCUACGGGAGGCAGCAGUAGGGAAUCUUCCGCAAUGGGCGAAAGCCUGACGGAGCAACGCCGCGUGAGUGAUGAAGGUCUUCGGAUCGUAAAACUCUGUUAUUAGGGAAGAACAUAUGUGUAAGUAACUGUGCACAUCUUGACGGUACCUAAUCAGAAAGCCACGGCUAACUACGUG
rnacentral:rRNA from 1 species